rnacentral:rRNA from 1 species
AGCUUAUUGAAAAUAUAAUAAGUUAAGUCUGCCCAGUGAAAUAUUUUUAACGGCCGCAGUACUUUGACUGUGCUAAGGUAGCAUAAUAAAUUGGCUUUUAAAUGAAGUCGGGAAUGAAAGAACCCAUGGAAAGAAUCUGUCUCAAUUAUAAGUAUUUUGAAAUUAAUAAUUAAGUGAAAAUUCUUAAGUAAAAUAUAUAAGACGAGAAGACCCUAAGAAUUAUUAAUAUAUAUAAUAAUAUUAUUAUAUCUUUUUUGUUGGGGCAACAUAGUUGGUUUAACCAACUAAAUUAUAUAUAUUUUUUGACAAAAUAAUUUUAAGAAUAACUAUAAAUUACCUUAGGGAUAACAGCAUAAUUAUUUAUUUAGAUUGUGACCUCGAUGUUGGACUAAGAACUUUUUUAAUUAGCCAUUAAAAGAGAUAGUUCUGUUCGAACUUUUUACUCUU